rnacentral:rRNA from 1 species
UACGUAGGGUGCGAGCGUUAAUCGGAAUUACUGGGCGUAAAGCGUGCGCAGGCGGCUGUGCAAGACAGAUGUGAAAUCCCCGGGCUUAACCUGGGAAUUGCAUUUGUGACUGCACGGCUAGAGUGUGUCAGAGGGGGGUAGAAUUCCACGUGUAGCAGUGAAAUGCGUAGAGAUGUGGAGGAAUACCGAUGGCGAAGGCAGCCCCCUGGGAUAACACUGACGCUCAUGCGCGAAAGCGUGGGGAGCAAACAGG